CGUGUUUACACAGUGUUGUUGAUUGUCGAGUCCUUCCGAGGUCACAUUCAAACACAAAGAAUUAUUUUCAACAUCAAGAGAUUAUCUUUAUCCCUAGUGGAAUUUAGGCUAGUCAAAGUUGACCUACACGAUGAUGACCUUUACACUACAAACAAGUACAGUGCGGAUUAAGUCGAUAUUUCCCUUGAGUUUGGAGUACCACCAGCAACGAAUAAAUAACAGGUGCAUGUUGGCACGAAGAUCGGGAUGAACAAGACAUAGCAAAGAGUAAUUUCGCAAGCUUUAAAAUUCGUAAAUUUGUAAACUCGUACAAUUAAAACAUGACAGAUAAAUCUGGGUUGCAAUUUCUCACUUAAAAAAUUGUCUCAGAUGUGACAGAGAAUCCUUUUCUGAUUAGGAUCCCAAAACCAUCUCAACCCCUUCCAAGAACUUGUAGAACCACUAAAGACUGGUUGAUGCCAUCAUGACCUCCAAACCAUCUAACCUCCUUCAAAGAACAUGUAGAACCGCUAAAAUUCUGGUUGAUGCUCGUGACCUCCAAACCAUCUAAACUCCUUCCAAGUACUUGUAGAACCACUAAAGACUCUGGUUGAUGCUCAUGACCUCCAAACCAUCUAAACUCCUUC